AUGCUCGAUUCAAUUGAUUGCAUGCAUUGGCAAUGGAAAAACCGCCUGGAACGUAUCAGGGUCACGCCAAAGAGGCCACUUAUGGAUUUGACAUGCUUUCUUCGGAAUGUCAGAUUCUCGCAACGACAUCAACGUGCUUCAAUUCCCAUGUUUAGGAGACUUUGUGAUGAGGAAUCAUCGCCGUGCAACUACACUGUCAAUGGUCAUGACUACAACAUGGUAUAUUAUCUUGCCGAUGGCAUCUAUCCAAACCACAAGGCGACAAACAAAGCGACUUUACAAGAAUGCAGAAAGCAGUAA
rnacentral:rRNA from 1 species